CAGUAGCCGCGGGAAUACGUAGGGUGCGAGCGUUAAUCGGAAUUACUGGGCGUAAAGCGUGCGCAGGCGGUUCGUUAAGACAGAUGUGAAAUCCCCGGGCUUAACCUGGGAACUGCAUUUGUGACUGACGGGCUAGAGUAUGGCAGAGGGGGGUAGAAUUCCACGUGUAGCAGUGAAAUGCGUAGAGAUGUGGAGGAAUACCGAUGGCGAAGGCAGCCCCCUGGGCCAAUACUGACGCUCAUGCACGAAAGCGUGGGGAGCAAACAGGAUUAGAUACCCGGGUAGUCCCUGUCUCUUAUAC
rnacentral:rRNA from 1 species